ensembl:ncRNA T08G2.4 ncRNA
ACCAAAACAACCUUUUAGCCACACAGCAGGAUCUCGCAUCCAGGACUGACAGACCAGCAGCAGCAGUUCCUGUUCCACACACAAACACACGCACAUCCAUUAUCCACACCAAUUAUCUUUUCUGAACCAAACAUGACUAACCA